rnacentral:lncRNA from 1 species
AUUUACAUGUUGAAGCCCUACCUCCUGAUAUAACUACUGGGAAAUAAAAGUAAAAUUCUAAGCCCCUCAACUGAGUGAACAGACCUUCUCUUGGCCAUAGCAACCCCAGAAUAACCUUGAAAACGGUUCUCAGCCAUGAUGUUUCGGUACAACAACAGACCAGCAUUUCUUCCUGAUGAGAGACAAUUGACCAUGGAGUUGUUCUGGCCAAUCUACGGAGAAUGUGCAGUGAAGGUUUUCAUGUCAUCUGCUUCAUCUUUUGAUGCCAGAGGGCCUGAAACUCCACCCUGGGAUUAUGCUAACACUGCCAUUUUUUGUACACAGGACCCAUGAAGAGGCACGAAGCUCAACUGUACAUGUGCAUGUUUUUCCUUUUGUAAAUAUUAAUGACUCCUCCUAUAAUCUGUUGAAUAUGUACACUUAACCACCCAACUUACCAUAUGUUUCUGUUCCCUUUCCCCCUCCCUUGAAGUAUCUGUUUUUGGCUUCUGACCAGAGGCUACACUUCCCAGCCUCUGGGAAUGGCCACCCUGCAGGCUGAAACUCUUCAUGAGAAAUAAAGCUCUUCUUUCUAAAUUUAUGAAAGUUGUCAUUCUUAAAUUGAUAUGAUAUUUGGAGGUAGAGCCUUUAAGAAGGGAAUUAAGGUGAAACGAGGUCAUGAGAGUGGGGCCCCAAUCUGAUAGGACUGGUGUAUUAGUCUGUUUUCAUGCUGCUGAUAAAGACAUACCCAAGACUGUUUAUAGAAAAAGAAAACGGACUCACAGUUUCAUGUGAGUGGGGAGGCCUCACAAUCAUGGCAGAAGGCAAACAGCACAUCUUACAUGGUGGCAGAGAAGAGAGAAUAACAGAACUUGUGCAGGGAAACUCCCCUUUAUAAAACCAUCAGAUCUCACAAGACUUAUUCACUAUCACAAGAACAGCAUAGGAAAGGCCCACCCCCAUGAUUCAACUACUCCCCAACAGGCCCAUCCCAUGACAUGUGGAAAUUGUGGGAGUUACGAUACAGGAUGAGAUUUGGGUGGGGACACAACCUAACCAUAACAACUGGUGUCCUUAUAAGAAGAAGAGGUAGUAGAACUCACUCUCUUUCUCUCUGC